CUGGAGAGUCCAGGAUGUGGACUUGAAACUCUGAGAUUGAAGCGCUGUGGUUUGUCAGAGAUCAGCUGUGAUGAUCUGGCAGCAGCGGUGAAGUCCAACCCCUCCCAUCUGAGAGAGCUGGACCUGAGAGACAACAAACUGCAGGAUACAGAUGUGAAGCAGCUGUGUGAUCUUCAGGAGAGUCCAGACUACAGACUGGAGACUCUGAGGUGGAGCUGAUGAUGGUAAA